GACGAACGCUGGCGGCGUGCUUAACACAUGCAAGUCGAGCGGUAAGGCCCUUCGGGGUACACGAGCGGCGAACGGGUGAGUAACACGUGGGUGACCUGCCUCUAGCUCUGGGAUAAGCCUGGGAAACUGGGCCUAAUACCGGAUAUGACUCCACGGCGCAUGUUGUGGGGUGGAAAGCCUUGUGUGGCUAGAGAUGGGCCCGCGGCCUAUCAGCUUGUUGGUGGGGUGANGGCCUACCAAGGCGACGACGGGUAGCCGGCCUGAGAGGGCGACCGGCCACACUGGGACUGAGACACGGCCCAGACUCCUACGGGAGGCAGCAGUGGGGAAUCUUGCGCAAUGGGCAAAGCCUGACGCAGCGACG
rnacentral:rRNA from 1 species